GCAGGUUACAGCAGAGCUUGGAGGCACAACCAGGACCCCUCAAUCAAGUCCUUCUGGGGGUUCAGGAAGCUUAGUUCCCAGCUUGAGAUUCCCUGAAUUCCAACUACCCAGCCCGAAACUGAAACUGAACUCCCCCAACUCCCUCUAGCCGACCCCUUCCUUUGUCCAGCUUUCCGAGCAAAGGUGCUGACACCCCUCUCCC